CUACGGGCGGCAGCAGUGGGGAAUAUUGGACAAUGGGGGAAACCCUGAUCCAGUAAUGCCGCGUGUGUGAAGAAGGCCUGCGGGUUGUAAAGCACUUUCGGUUGGGAGGACUGCUUCUAGCACUAAUAUUGUUGGAAGUUGACGUUACCUUCAGAAGAAGCACCGGCUAACUCCGUGCCAGCAGCCGCGGUAAUGACGGAGGGUGCAAGCGUUAAUCGGAAUUACUGGGCGUAAAGCGCGCGUAGGCGGCUAGAUCAGUCGGGUGUGAAAGCCCCGGGCUUAACCUGGGAACUGCAUCCGAUACUGGCUAGCUUGAGUACAGGAGAGGAGAGUGGAAUUCCACAUGUAGCGGUGAAAUGCGUAGAUAUGUGGAGGAACACCAAUGGCGAAGGCAGCUCUCUGGCCUGAUACUGACGCUGAGGUGCGAAAGCGUGGGGAGCAAACAGGAUUAGAUACCCUCGUAGUC
rnacentral:rRNA from 1 species